rnacentral:rRNA from 1 species
GUGUCAGCAGCCGCGGUAAUACGUAGGGACCAAGCGUUGUUCGGAUUUACUGGGCGUAAAGGGCGCGUAGGCGGUGCGGUAAGUCACUUGUGAAAUCUCUGAGCUUAACUCAGAACGGCCAAGUGAUACUGCAGUACUAGAGUGCAGAAGGGGCAAUCAGAAUUCUUGGUGUAGCGGUGAAAUGCGUAGAUAUCAAGAGGAAUACCUGAGGUGAAGACGGGUUGCUAGGCUGACACUGACGCUGAGGCGCGAAAGCCAGGGGAGCAAACGGGAUUAGAUACCCUCGUAGUCC